CCCAGAUAGAACAUGAGCUCGGCGCUACUGCCAAGUCGAAUUGGAGAUGGGUCUGAAGAUGGACUGUGAUUUGGAGAUGGGAGCACGCAUGGGUCUUCGACUAGAGGAAAUCUCUCAACACUUAGAAGCUUGAAAUUUACUGUUGUGCUUCCCUGUGAGAAAUUGGUGUUUGUGACAGAAGUAUUAGCUAGAGCUUAGCCUUAGCGUGCAUUGGGUAGGCACUCAAUUCAAAGACUCCGUCGUAUUCUGGGUUCAAGAAGGACUAGGUGAUUAUAGUCACAGCAAUGUCAAAGUCUUGACGCUUUAUUUUAAGGGUGAGCAUCUUCUUCCAAGUGCCAGUUCUGGUUUCAUCUCGUUUGCUGUAGAACUGUAUUUAUUUUGACAGCCUUUCUUCGUCUCCUUCCUUUGAAUCAGAAGGUCGGGACUGGCUUAUUUUUGGCUAUAGUUGUUUUGAAAGAACGCAGGGGGAUCACGUGUAGUGUUUAAGUGAAAUUGACAGAGUUCCCUUAUUUUUAUCAUAAUUUUUAAUUUGAACCAAGACCUCUUAUGAAAGCAUGGCCCAGAUGA